rnacentral:rRNA from 1 species
GGACUACUGGGGUAUCUAAUCCCGUUCGCUCCCCUAGCUUUCGCACCUCAGCGUCAGAUACGAGCCAGGACCUUGCCUUCGCCAGUGGUGUUCUUCCGGAUCUCUACGCAUUUCACCGCUCCACCCGGAGUUCCAGGUCCCUCUCUCGCUCUCCAGUCGUGCCGUCUUUGCGACCCUUGGGCAGUUAAGCCGCCCACUGUCCCCGCAAACUGACACAACCGCCUGCGUGCCCUUUACGCCCAGUAACUCCGGACAACGCUUGCCCCCUACGUAUUACCGCGGCUGCUGGCAC